GACGAACGCUGGCGGCGUGCUUAACAUAUGCAAGUCGAACGAUGACGACCGAGCUUGCUCGGUCUGAUUAGUGGCGAACGGGUGAGUAACACGUGAGCAACCUGCCCUUCACUCUGGGAUAACCUCGGGAAAUCGGGGCUAAUACCGGAUAUGAGCUCCUGUCGCAUGGCGGGUGUUGGAAAGUUUUUCGGUGAAGGAUGGGCUCGCGGCCUAUCAGUUUGUUGGUGAGGUAGUGGCUCACCAAGGCGAUGACGGGUAGCCGGCCUGAGAGGGCGACCGGCCACGCUGGGACUGAGACACGGCCCAGACUCCUACGGGAGGCAGCAGUGGGGAAUAUUGCACAAUGGGCGAAAGCCUGAUGCAGCGACGCCGCGUGAGGGAUGACGGCCUUCGGGUUGUAAACCUCUUUCAGCAGGGAAGAAGCGAAAGUGACGGUACCUGCAGAAGAAGCGCCGGCUAACUACGUG
rnacentral:rRNA from 1 species